CAGCAGCCGCGGUAAUACGUAGGGUGCGAGCGUUAAUCGGAAUUACUGGGCGUAAAGCGUGCGCAGGCGGCUUUGCAAGACAGAGGUGAAAUCCCCGGGCUCAACCUGGGAACUGCCUUUGUGACUGCAAGGCUAGAGUACGGCAGGGGGGGAUGGAAUUCCGCGUGUAGCAGUGAAAUGCGUAGAUAUGCGGAGGAACACCGAUGGCGAAGGCAAUCCCCUGGGCCUGUACUGACGCUCAUGCACGAAAGCGUGGGGAGCAAACAGGAUUAGAUACCCUGGUAGUCCACGCCCUAAACGAUGUCAACUGGUUGUUGGACGGCUUGCUGUUCAGUAACGAAGCUAACGCGUGAAGUUGACCGCCUGGGGAGUACGGCCGCAAGGUUGAAACUCAAAUGAAUUGACGG
rnacentral:rRNA from 1 species